CUUAAGCAUAUCAAUAAGCGGAGGAAAAGAAAAUAACAAUGAUUCCCCUAGUAACUGCGAGUGAAGAGGGACAAGCUCAAAUUUUAAAUCCAUCGGGUUUUACCCGAUCGAGUUGUAAUUUGAAGAGGCGUUUUCUGUGUUUCUGAUCAGUCCAAGUCCUUUGGGAUAAGGCAUCAUGGAGGGUGAGAAUCCCGUCCGGUUGAUCAGAUUCGCUUUACGAUACGCUUUCUAAGAGUCAAGUUGUUUGGGAUUGCAGCUUAAAAUGGGAGGUAAAUUUCUCCUAAGGCUAAAUAACGGCGAGAGACCGAUAGCGAACAAGUACCGUGAGGGAAAGAUGAAAAGAACUUUGAAAAGAGAGUUAAACAGUACGUGAAAUUGUUGAAAGGGAAACGAUUGAAGCCAGUCGUACCUUCGGGUAAUCAGCCUUUCGGGUGCGAUUAUGUGGAUGUGAGGAGCUUAAACACCUUCAUGUUUUGCAUAUUCGUACUCUUGGGUGUACUUGCCCGUGUGGUUGGUUAACAUCAAUUUUGGUGGUCAUAAAAUGACUGGGGGAAUGUAGCUUCGAUCUUGUAUUGAAGUGUUAUAGCCUUCGGUAGAUGUGAUGAUCGAGAUUGAGGAUUGCAACGGAUACCCUUCGGGGCUACCUGUCUGGUCUCUGAUCGUUGCUCUGGUGCCGAAAGCUUGCUUACGGUUAUCAAAGUCGAUGGUCAAUAGGUUAGAACGGGUUAAAUUCGUUAAGGAUGUUGACGUAAUGGCUUUAAACGACCUGUCUUGAAACACGGACCAAGGAGUCUAACAUAUAUGCGAGUGUUAGGGUGAUUAAACCCUUACGCGUAAUGAAAGUAAUUUUGGUGGGAACACUUUUGUGCACCAUCGACCGAUCAGGAUAUUUUUUGAUAGAUUUGAGUAAGAGCAUAUCUGCUAGGACCCGAAAGAUGGUGAACUAUGCCUGAAUAGGGUGAAGUCAGAGGAAACUCUGAUGGAGGCUCGUAGCGGUUCUGACGUGCAAAUCGAUCGUCAAAUUUGGGUAUAGGGGCGAAAGACUAAUCGAACCAUCUAGUAGCUGGUUCCUGCCGAAGUUUCCCUCAGGAUAGCAGAAACUCGUUAACAGUUUUAUGAGGUAAAGCGAAUGAUUAGAGGCCUUAGGGUUGAAACAGCCUUAACCUAUUCUCAAACUUUAAAUAUGUAAGAAGUUUAUCGUUACUUAAUUGAACGUGAACAUUCGAAUGAGA
rnacentral:rRNA from 1 species